CAGGCUGCUGUCCCUCUCCGCCCUUCAUGGGACGGUCGAGCAAAGUAAGGCUCCGCUGUAGCUCCACUUUUUUUCAACUUUGUUCAUUUGUUGAACGUAAACUCAACGUGGUUUCGUUUUGGGGGCGCGCGAAAGUAUUUCACUUCGUGAGACGUUUAAGGCUCGUACGGGAACAAUAUCAAUCAUUCUCCGAAAAUGACUGAUGGAUAAAUGCUCGCACAAUAUGCUUCACUAUAAUAUCGUACCGGAUUUUUUGUAAUUAAACUCCCGUAGGUGAUGCAAGCGACUUUUUGAGGCGAGUGAGUUUUAUUUCACUUUUCUGUAAAGACUGACCGUCCCAUGCAAGCGAGUCGCGUGCCAGGCUGCACUCUACCCCGAGGACAGUGCCCUAGGCUCGGGGAUUAGAUGGUGCUGAUCACGGACGACAGGGAUGGAGGAGGCGCUUCGUCGGUCCGGGUCAAACAGCUCCAGCAGCAGCAGAAAGUCGGGGGGAACAUCACCCACGUUCACCCGACCAUAGUCGAGGAGUCCAACGAUGACGACUACCUAGGCUCGUGCGAGGAGGACGAUGAAGGGGACGAAGGGGAAGCAGACGAUGAUGAAUUCGAAGAAGUUGACUUUGAGGACUUGGCGGAUUGUCGGAGCAUCGUCUCGGACGACUCCUUCUACCCGCCGGAUGAUGUGUUCGCAGACUCGGAGAGGUCCCCGUCACCGGAAAGCCCAAAACCGCUGUCUUUUUUCCAGGCGUGCUGCACCAACAACUCCACUAUCGUCCGAAUGAUGAUAAGGCAUGGAGUGACGAAGGAGGAGGUCAAUGAGAAGGACAGGAAUAACAGGACCGGGCUGUUGGUUGCAUGUUACCAAGGUUUCGUGGACGUCGUCAUAGCGCUGUCUCAGUGUCCGCAUAUAGAUGUCAACUGGCAGGACAGCGAGGGAAACACAGCUCUCAUCACUGCUGCUCAAGCAGGCCACAUAACAAUCACCAAUUAUCUGCUGAACUACUACUCUGGGUUGGACAUCGAGAGGAGAAACUGCCACGGCUUCACCGCUCUGAUGAAAGCUGCCAUGCAGGGCAGAGUGGAAUGUGUGCGCUCGCUCAUGAUGGCAGGAGCUGCUCUGAAUUCCAGGGACUUUGGACGCAACUUUACUGCCAGGGAAUGGGCCUUGUUUACGGGCCGUUAUGAAACUGCCUGGGUGAUGAUGUGCCUGAUAGAACAGCCCUGCCCGCGCCAGUACUGUGAUACAUUCAGUCUAGAGUGGCCUCCACUGGCAUCACUGGUGGCCAAAGCCCAGGAGCCCCGUGGCUGUCUGAAGCGCCUGUCGGACACUGUGCGGAACGUCUUCAACAUAGCGAAUGUCACCAACCCUGAGGCUGAAGGUGUUAUCGACCACAUGGUUUCUAUAACAACUGCUUUGAGGAGCCCUUUCAUUGCCGUGGCUUGCCAUACAGUGUGUCCUGACAGUCCCCCAAGUGUGGGCAAACGGCGCUAUGCAGUUCCUGAGGUAAUCCGCCAGCAGCGCGCCAAGGAGCUCCGUUCUAUUAACCCUGGCAGGGUGGAGACCCACCUCAAACUCUUUCAGAACUCCCGGGUCACAUUGGUGGCCAAGAACUCAGCAGACCGCCGGGCCAGCCUUCAGGUCCCGGGCCUGAGCGUGGAGGCUCAAACCAAAGCCAUGGAGAUGCGGAGAACCAGCCUGCUGCCCAUGCACAUGGUGCUGAGAAGGAGCAGCGUCAGGCCUGGCUUCAGCAUCCCCAAAGUGAGGGUGUCCAAGGCCCCUACGCCCACUUACGAACCAGAAAAGAUCCGGAGGAAGAGCAGCACCAAAGAUGGAAGCGGACACUUGCUGCAAAUACCAAAGUGGCGUUACAAGGAGCUAAAAGAAGAAAGGAGGAAAGCCGAGGAGGCUGAGAGGAGGAGGCUGGAGGCUGUAACCAAGAGACACCUUGCUGCCGGGAAAAGGAAAUAACAUCAUUGUCUCAGAGGAUGCCAUGCACACUACCCUAAAAAGAGACUACAUCUGGACUAGGGGUGUCCCCGACUAAGAGUUUACAGAAUUGUCUUGCCUAUGUUUCGACUGGGGGGGCGGAUCAUACUGCAGUCUCAUGGCAGUUCUGGAAAUUGUGACGUUAUAUAAUCUAUUGAUUCAUCUACAGA